rnacentral:rRNA from 1 species
UGGGGAAUUUUGGACAAUGGGCGCAAGCCUGAUCCAGCAAUGCCGCGUGCAGGAUGAAGGCCUUCGGGUUGUAAACUGCUUUUGUACGGAACGAAAAGCCUCUCUCUAAUACAGGGGGUGAUGACGGUACCGUAAGAAUAAGCACCGGCUAACUACGUGCCAGCAGCCGCGGUAAUACGUAGGGUGCAAGCGUUAAUCGGAAUUACUGGGCGUAAAGCGUGCGCAGGCGGUUUUGUAAGACAGUGGUGAAAUCCCCGGGCUCAACCUGGGAACUGCCAUUGUGACUGCAAGGCUGGAGUGCGGCAGAGGGGGAUGGAAUUCCGCGUGUAGCAGUGAAAUGCGUAGAUAUGCGGAGGAACACCGAUGGCGAAGGCAAUCCCCUGGGCCUGCACUGACGCUCAUGCACGAAAGCGUGGGGAGCAAACAGGAUUAGAUACCCUGGUAGUCCACGCCCUAAAACGAUGUCAACUGGUUGUUGGGGAUUUAUUUCUUCAGUAACGAAGCUAACGCGUGAAGUUGACCGCCUGGGGGAGUACGGCCGCAAGGUUAAAAACUCAAAAGGAAUUGACGGGGUCAUAGCUGUUUCCU